rnacentral:rRNA from 1 species
GGGCCCGCACAAGCGGUGGAGUAUGUGGUUUAAUUCGAUGCAACGCGAAGAACCUUACCAGGGUUUGACAUAGUACGAAGUUUUUUGAAAAAAAACCACCUUCGGGAACGUACAUACAGGUGGUGCAUGGCUGUCGUCAGCUCGUGUCGUGAGAUGUUGGGUUAAGUCCCGCAACGAGCGUAACCCUUGUUUUUAGUUGCCUUUCGAGGAUAUUUAGAAGACUGCCGAUUAUAAAUCGGAGGAAGGUAAGGACGACGUCAAGUCAUCAUGCCCCUUACACUCUGGGCUACACACGUGCUACAUUGGGUAGAACAAUAAGUUGCUAAGUUGCGAAACCAAGCGAAUCUUCAAAUCUACUCUAAGUUCGGAUUGUAGGCUGCAACUCGCCUACAUAAAGAUGGAAUC